UCAGGAGGGGGUUAGAGUUGUUCGGAAUUACUGGGCGUAAAGCGCGCGGAGGCGGAUCAGAAAGUUGGGGGUGAAAUCCCGGGGCUCAACCCCGGAAUUGCCUUCAAAACUCCUGGUCUUGAGUUCGAGAGAGGUGAGUGGAAUUCCGAGUGUAGAGGUGAAAUUCGUAGAUAUUCGGAGGAACACCAGUGGCGAAGGCGGCUCACUGGCUCGAUACUGACGCUGAGGUGCGAAAGCGUGGGGAGAAAACAGG
rnacentral:rRNA from 1 species